rnacentral:rRNA from 1 species
UACAGAGGUCCCAAGCGUUGUUCGGAUUCAUUGGGCGUAAAGGGCGCGUAGGCGGCGGGGUAAGUCUGGUGUGAAAUCUCGGAGCUCAACUCCGAAAUUGCACUGGAUACUGCUCUGCUAGAGGGCUGGAGAGGAGAUCGGAAUUCACGGUGUAGCAGUGAAAUGCGUAGAGAUCGUAAGGAAGACCAGUGGCGAAGGCGGGUCUCUGGACAGUUCCUGACACUGAGGCACGAAGGCCAGGGGAGCAAACGGG